rnacentral:lncRNA from 1 species
CUGACGUGUUCUGCAGCUGUUCUUCCUCUCGUCGAUUUUCUAACAGUAGUUUCAUCUGACGUGUUUGUUUUACCAGAGCAAGACUUCAGGUCUGUUAGGCCUCUCGACUCUGGUCUGAAUCAAACGCUUCAGAUCACUGUGAAUCCUUCGAGACGGACAGCAGUGUUCGGACAGACAGAGAUCAAAUGCACUGAGACAUUUCAUCAUAUUAUCAUUUCAUAGACUGAUAAUCGUCCAGAGAAUGAUGAAUAUGAAAAUAUGAAUUCUGACUGCAUUGCUGGUACGUUACAGGACCCAGAUCACGGAUCUACAUUAAUUCAGCUGUUAUAUUUUGACUCCUUUCAUCCUGAGACUGCAGAUUCUUCACCUCUCGACGUCUGACUCAGUAUUUCUGAUUGUACAAAUAGUUGAACAAACUGAGUUCUGGCGCUGCUGAUAAAAUCCAGACAUUGUUAAUAAAGAUUGAGUCCGACAUUUUACCA